AUAGAAACAAUUUAGAAAAAAAACAGCGGUUUACAUAAAGACCAUGAACGUGUAGUUAAUAGAAGGUAAACUCUUGUCUUAUUGAGUUGGAACUUUCAAUAGAAGCAAAUAAAAUAAAUCAUAUUUAUACAACAAGAGUUUUAAGAUUGUGGCUUCAGUUAAUCUUUCUUCUUUUGACUCAUCUCCUGAUUAAAAAAUCGCUUACUAAACGUUGAAAAUCACUCUCAUGAUGUGUGGAAGUGGUAUUGGAGAAGAAGAAACUUUUAUCGAUGUGUGACGACUUUGGAUAAGAAACAUGAUCAAGAAGAAACAUUAGAUGUUCCGAAGCUCACCAAGGAGGAAACUAUCUCUGAAGUCCUUCCAACUAAUGAAAUGGCAGAAGCAGAAUCUUCAGAGCACGAGACACCCAUGUAUCUAUGGGACGCAGCUUAUUACCAGAGCCAAAGAAAAAGCCAAAAGGAAAGAGGGAGAGAGAAAACAAGAGAGGAGGAGGAGAUAGAUUUAUAAAUUGAAACCAUGGAGUAAUAUUUUGUUUUAAUAAACUCGAGUGUAGGUUGUUGACCAAAAAAACUAAUAGUACUAGUUUUCUUUAAAAACGACUUUAUAAAUUGCCGAAUUCAUUGUAUGUUUGUAAUAAUUCAUUUCUCAUUUGGAAAAAGAAAAUGUGGUAAUAAAGUAGUGACUUGUGAGUGACU